rnacentral:lncRNA from 1 species
ACGGUUCCACAAUCUUUAAGAUUAAAUUUUAUUUCUCAGCUAAAACUUUCGUAACACCGUUACAUUAUUUCUUCUCCAAUUUUAGCAGUCAACUGAAGCUAUAACAAAAAAUUAGUAGCAUAACACAUGAUAAGACUGAAUUGAUUGAGCUUAACAUAGCAGCUAGUCAAGGAACAAAAUUGUUUAAUUUUUAUUUUUCUCAAAAUAACGAAAGAAGCCGAUGAAGACGUCAGAGAAUUCUGAGACGGUGAAGCUUGAAAAUAGCGCUUUAGGCCAAAAUUGAGUCGUCAUCAACUGCUGAAGACGACCAUGAACCUGGAUUUUGUUACUUUUAUAAAAAGAUUCGGCUAUAGCUGAAGGGGUCAAUAGAAAUUUGAGGUAGUAAAUACUGAGUGAAACAUUCUUCUCUUUCUUUUUUAAUUUUUUUGUGCUG